rnacentral:tRNA from 3 species
GGGCGUUUAACUCAGCGGUAGAGUAUCUGCCUUACAAGCAGAGAGUCACUGGUUCAAAUCCAGUAACGCCCA